UACGUAGGUUGCAAGCGUUACUCGGAUUUAUUGGGCGUAAAGCGUCUGUAGGCUGUUUUUUAAGUCUUGUUUCAAAGAUCUCGGCUCAACCGAGGGACGGGGCAGGAUACUGGAAGACUAGAGUGAUAUCGGAGUUACUGGAAUUUGUAGUGUAGGGGUUAAAUCCGUGGAUACUACAAAGAACACCAAGCGCGAAGGCGGGUAACUAGGUAUUUACUGACGCUCAGAGACGAAAGCUAGGGGAGCAAAUCAG
rnacentral:rRNA from 1 species